UACAUACGGGACGCAGCAGUGGGGAAUAUUGCACAAUGGGGGGAACACUGAUGCAGCGACGCGGCGUGAGUGAGGAAGUAUUUCGGUAUGUAAAGCUCUAUCAGCAGGGAAGAAGAUGACGGUACCUGACUAAGAAGCCCCGGCUAACUAAGUGACAGCAGCCGCGGUAAUACGUAGGGGGCAAGCGUUAUCCGGAUUUACUGGGUGUAAAGGGAGCGUAGACGGCAGGGAAAGUCUGGAGUGAAAGCCCGGGGACCAAACCCGGGACUGCUUUGGAAACUGCCAU
rnacentral:rRNA from 1 species